GCCCCGGUAAACGGCGGCCGUAACUAUAACGGUCCUAAGGUAGCGAAAUUCCUUGUCGGGUAAGUUCCGACCUGCACGAAUGGCGUAAUGAUGGCCAGGCUGUCUCCACCCGAGACUCAGUGAAAUUGAACUCGCUGUGAAGAUGCAGUGUACCCGCGGCAAGACGGAAAGACCCCGUGAACCUUUACUAUAGCUUGACACUGAACACUGGUCCUUGAUGUGUAGGAUAGGUGGGAGGCUUUGAAGCGUGGACGCCAGUCUGCGUGGAGCCGACCUUGAAAUACCACCCUUUAAUGGCU
rnacentral:rRNA from 1 species